AUUGACAUAGACACAAUGCGAAAGUGAAAGAAGCAGUAGCAUAUAUCACAGAAAUUGCUUGCAAUUAUGAGGCUUUAGUGAAACAAUCUAAGGAGAAGUAUGGAAGCAGUAUGGCAGAACAAAUGAGCAAAAGGAAGAAGAAACAAGACAUGAGAAAAGAAAAGAGCAAGAUUAAGUAGAGGAAAAGAAAAUGUAGAAGAAGAUAUUGCCAUUGAGAUUAUAGAUCAGGAAGAUAGUGUCAGUUUGAUAGAUGAAGGGGAUAGUGGUAGUUUGAUUGUAGAUCAAGAAGAUAGUGUCAGUUUGAUUGUAGAUGAAGGGAAAAGUGGUAGUUUGGUUGUUGAUUAAGAAGAUAGUGUCAGUUUGAUUGUAGAUGAAAGGAAAAGUGGUGGUUUGGUUGUAGAUCAAGAAGAUAGUGGCACUGCGAUUAUAAAUCAAGGGGAAAGUGGUAGUUUGGUGGUUGUAGAUCAGUGGCAGUGUGAAUGAGGAUUAUUAAAGACAAUAGAAAAUAUUUUGAUAGUACAUAUUAAAACUAUAUAAGAGUUACUGUUAAUAUUGAAAGAGAUUGCA